AAAGACCCCAGCUUAGCAGCAGUAACGCCAUUUUGCAAGGCUGUACUUAAGAUGACUGGUUCAGGGAAAGGUUAGAACACUGAGUACACAGCGGCUGCCAAGCAGGAUGUGUUUGGUUGAAGGCCUGGCAACAGGACGACUGCAGUUGAGCACCUGACAAUGAGAAAAGCCCCGGGAGAGGUCCCACACCCUGGUGGGGGGGCCGAGUCAGCCGUUAUGUUCCAAGAAGGUAGCUAAGAAACUUGCCCCCAGGCUGAACCCUUGGGGGGCCGAGUCAGUCCUUAUGUUUCAGGAAGGUAGCUAGGAAACUUGCCCCCGGGCUAAACCCUUGCCAUAUUAGAAUCCACCAAUUAUAUCCCUGUAACCAUGCAUCUGCUUCUGUAUGCUUGCUUCUGCUCCCCAAAAUCCUAUAAAAGCCCAUCCUUGGUUCCGUGGGGCGCGCCAGUCCCCCGAGUGACUGAAGCGCCCGCAGGUGCCUGUGCCUGUGUAUCCCGACAAUAAACCAAAUCCUCUUGCUGAUUGCAUCCUGUGGUGUCUCGGUCUGGUCUUUGGAGUUAGAGGGUCUCCAUCCCGAGGGAAAGUUCUCCCUGAGAGCUUUUCAUUUGGUGCGUUGGCCGGGAAAGGAGAUCCUCCACCCAGGGACCACCGACCACCCACUGGGAGCCUACUUGGGAUGACUGCCAACA
ensembl:lncRNA